rnacentral:rRNA from 1 species
AGAACGAACGCUGGCGGCGUGGAUAAGACAUGCAAGUCGCACGGGAUAUUUCUGGUAGCAAAUAUUAGAAAUGUCCAGUGGCGCAAGGGUGCGUAACACGUGGGCAAUCUGCCGAGAAGGUGGGGGAUAGCUCGCCGAAAGGCGAAUUAAUACCGCAUGUGGCCAGGGAAGACAUCUUCCCGACGCCAAAGGCCGGGCAACCUGGCCGCUUCUUGAUGAGCCCGCGGCCUAUCAGCUAGUUGGUGACGGUAACGGCUCGACCAAGGCUAGUGGACGGUAGCUGG